rnacentral:rRNA from 1 species
UACGUAGGGCGCAAGCGUUAUCCGGAAUUAUUGGGCGUAAAGAGCUUGUAGGCGGUUUGUCGCGUCUGCUGUGAAAAUCCGGGGCUCAACCCCGGACUUGCAGUGGGUACGGGCAGACUAGAGUGUGGUAGGGGGAGACUGGAAUUCCUGGUGUAGCGGUGAAAUGCGCAGAUAUCAGGAGGAACACCGAUGGCGAAGGCAGGUCUCUGGGCCACUACUGACGCUGAGAAGCGAAAGCAUGGGGGAGCGAACAGG